AGGAAACUCUGAAGAAGCACAACUUCUUCUUCUUCUUCACUAAAACUCUGUUCAACCGCACCUACAUCCAUCUCAAACAGAGCUGUAACUCGUCGUCGCCCGUCCAGUUGAAUGUUUCCUGGUAUCUGAGGAACUCCCACUGCCACGAUGAAGUCUUCAGCCUGGACGCAAAGAGGGUGGGAAGUUACUUCAACUCGACGGAGGUCAAAACAGGAGGAGGAAGUGGAUAUUAUGUUUUUCACCAGUAUCCUGCCAUCGUCUGCCAGCCACACUUGAGCCCCAACAAGUUCGGCCUGGAGAUAUUUGACCCGAAAAUACGACUGACAGAAGCGCCGCAGCCACAGGUGAGACGCUUUGUGCUUCUGUCC